AGGAAAUAACAAAAGUAAGAUUGCGUUUGGGUAGUGUGGUGAACUCAGAUAUUCUAUGAAUAGUAGUGAAAAAAGUAAUGAUAGAAUAUUAAAUAAUAGU